rnacentral:rRNA from 1 species
CAUAGCGACUAUCGUGGCAUAUCAAUAAGCGGAGGAAAAGAAACUAACAAGGAUUCCCCUAGUAACGGCGAGUGAAGCGGGAAGAGCUCAAAUUUGAAAUCUUCAAGGUUUGACCUUGACGAAUUGUAGUUAAAAGAAGUGUUUUCGGUUAGAGGAGUAGUAAAAGUUCUUUGGAAUAGGACAUCAUAGAGGGUGAGAAUCCCGUAUUUGACUAUUCUUUCUAGCUUUGUGAUACACUUUCAAAGAGUCGGAUUGUUUGGGAAUGCAGUCCAAAAUGGGUGGUAAAUUUCAUCUAAAGCUAAAUAUUGGCGAGAGACCGAUAGCGAACAAGUACCGUGAGGGAAAGAUGAAAAGAACCUUGAAAAGAGAGUUAAACAGUACGUGAAAUUGUCUAAAAGGGGAAGCGUUUGACACCAGUGUUGUUUUUCCGAAAAUCAAUUAAAAAUUGAUUCAUGCUAGGUUGUAUUGACCUCAUCAGCUUGCAAUUUAGUUUUGGGUCUCUUUUUGAUGCACUUUUCGGUUAACAAGUCAACAUCAAUUUCCUUUGCUGUAAAAAGGUAAGAGGAAGGUGGCUUCAAUUUCGGUUGAAGUGUUUAUAGCCUUUUAUCUCUGCAGUCGGGGAGACUGAGGUCUGCAGCGUAGAUCCUUCGGGGCUAGAUACAUUUAUGCUAAGUUAUAGCUUUUCAUAGACAACUUGUUGACUAUGUUUAGUCAUGUAGCUUACUCGUAGGUGCUAUUUUACCUACGCUUAGGAUGUUGAUAUGCAUGACUGAUAU